rnacentral:rRNA from 1 species
UACGUAGGGGGCAAGCGUUGUCCGGAAUCAUUGGGCGUAAAGAGCGUGUAGGCGGCCCGAUAAGUCCGCUGUGAAAGUCCAGGGCUCAACCCUGGAAUGCCGGUGGAUACUGUCGGGCUCGAAUCCGGAAGAGGUGAGUGGAAUUCCUGGUGUAGCGGUGAAAUGCGCAGAUAUCAGGAGGAACACCAAUGGCGAAGGCGGCUCUCUGGGACGGUACUGACGCUGAGACGCGAAAGCGUGGGGAGCGAACAGG